rnacentral:rRNA from 1 species
GACGAACGCUGGCGGCGUGCAUAACACAUGCAAGUCAAGGGGGCCCGCAAGGGCAACCGGCGAACGGGUGAGUAACGCGUAGGUAUCUGUCCAUGGGUGGGGGAUAACCGGGGGAAACUCCGGCUAAUACCGCAUGAAACCUGAGGGUCAAAGGCGCGAGUCGCCUGUGGAGGAGCCUGCGUCCGAUUAGCUAGUUGGUGGGGUAAAGGCCUACCAAGGCGACGAUCGGUAGCUGGUCUGAGAGGAUGAUCAGCCACACUGGGACUGAGACACGGCCCAGACUCCUACGGGAGGCAGCAGUGGGGAAUAUUGGACAAUGGGCGCAAGCCUGAUCCAGCAAUGCCGCGUGGGUGAAGAAGGUCUUCGGAUUGUAAAGCUCUGUGGGAGAGAAGAAUAAACGUGGGUGAAUAGCCUAUGUGAUGAC